rnacentral:rRNA from 1 species
UACAGAGGGUGCAAGUGUUGUUCGGAAUUAUUGGGCGUAAAGGGCGCGUAGGCGGCUUGAUAAGUCAGAUGUGAAAGCCCUGGGCUUAACCCAGGAAUUGCAUUUGAGACUGCCAAGCUAGAGUGCGAAAGAGGAGAGCGGAAUUCCCGGUGUAGAGGUGAAAUUCGUAGAUAUCGGGAGGAACACCAGUGGCGUAAGCGGCUCUCUGGGUCGACACUGACGCUCAGUGCGCGAAAGCGUGGGGAGCAAACAGG